CAGAUGUCGGCUUCCUUCAGGGACAGCAGUUCUUCCGUGGACAUUCGGGCGAGUACACCGCAAAGCACUUCCAAGUCUCUUUGCGUCAUCGCAAACGCUGAAAAAGGCUGGGGCGAGCUUCCUAUAGCAUCAGCAUCGACCAGCUGCCUACAGAAUGCGGGACGACCAUGCCAAGUACUUCGUCACUGAUGGCCAGAUCCCUUAGGAAGAGUCCACGAUCAUGGACAGAACGCUGUACAGUGGUGUCACGCAACGUGGCGACGAUCCUGCUCCAGAAAACUCGUCCACUGAACUUGCAUCACAAAUGGAAUCCUCCAGCUGGCUUGGCUCGACGACCUCCGUGCUGCUUUCCGUGCUUGUGCUUUGUCGAUGCACGACUGGUGUUCUGUGUGUGUCAUUCACCAAAAAAAGAGCACGCGAAACACUUUUGAGCUUCAAAUAUUCCUCACAGCUUUGUAGAAUAUUGUUUGCAUGAAAUGAACAUGGGCUGUUGCUUUAUUAAAGCAACGCAAAAUUACGUAGGACAACUUGAGAAAUAAGAUCUUUCAGUUGAAUUUUCAAAAUAUGUGCCAUGCAGUAAUGCAAAUACGCACUGAAGCCACAAUACAUUGAACUCAGUGCAAUUCCAGCGCAGUUAUUUGGUUCUGUUCCCAUACGACUCCAUUUACCUUUUAAAGGGACCCUGAAACGAUUUUGACGAUUUUCUACAAACGUACGGAGUCGUUAGAGUAGGUCCUUCUGAUCAUUAAUUGACGCAUAUAAGUGCUCCGUGUAAAGCGUGUAAUUUAUUAUAAGGUUUUCAAAAUGCACAUCGCUGCCGAUCGCAGCACGCUGCUCGGCGGAAUUUUAAGCCGCCCCUACCCAUAUGACGGCAAUCACCCAUAUGACGUCAGUGGGGCGAGCUAUCCGAUUGGCUGACCAGGGCGCGUGAUCGAUAAUUUUUCCAGCAUUAUGGUAAACAAUGAUCUUUGUAAUAGUUGGAAUGUUAGUUCAUUUGUUUUUAUAAAAAGAAAGUAACAUAAAGAGAAUGCACAAGAACACUUUUUCAGUACACUUAAGUAC